AUGGUUUCUUACUCCUUCUUUUCUGGAACAUCUCCGCUAUCAUCAAUAUUCAAUUUUCCCUCAGCUUCUAAUAGAUGGAAAUGCCAAUGCCAAGGUGGGCAGGUACGCACAGGUAGCCCCAGGGGUACCCCCAUCCCUGCUCCAGGACCCCCUCCCUCUUCCCACACAGGUGUGAGGGGCAGCCCCACCUGCACCGCUCCUCCCAAGGGAAUGGGAUGUGUGCAGCUCCCAGCCCAGCGUCCUGCUGGAGAUCCCAACUCACCUCAUGCCUCUGCCCAAGUCCUUGUGCAGCCCGCCAUGUUCCUGCCUCUCCUCAUGGAUCCGCGGCUCAGCCCAGAACCACUUUUAGAAGUACAAGACAAGUGAAGGAAAAAUGUUUACAAACUUCUGUGGAAAGGCAGCACGAGCGUGUCCCCAGAGGAGAGAUCUUCCCAGUGCCUCUUUCAAGUCGAGCACUUCCAUUAUUCCUUUUCUGCAGAUUAAGAUUUUUUUUGAAGUUGCAACUAAGAAGGGUAAAUUUUGAGACAAGUGAAAUGCCCAGCUCACUGAACUCUCCGGAAGAAUAAAGCCUUCUAUCUGCUACUGGCUAUCUUUCUC
rnacentral:lncRNA from 1 species